CAUGUGGUUUAAUUCGAAGCAACGCGAAGAACCUUACCAGGCCUUGACAUGCAGAGAACUUUCCAGAGAUGGAUUGGUGCCUUCGGGAACUCUGACACAGGUGCUGCAUGGCUGUCGUCAGCUCGUGUCGUGAGAUGUUGGGUUAAGUCCCGUAACGAGCGCAACCCUUGUCCUUAGUUACCAGCACGUUAUGGUGGGCACUCUAAGGAGACUGCCGGUGACAAACCGGAGGAAGGUGGGGAUGACGUCAAGUCAGCAUGGCCCUUACGUCCGGGGCUACACACGUGCUACAAUGGCCGGUACAAAGGGUUGCGAAGCCGUGAGGUGGAGCGAAUCUCAAAAAGCCGGCCUCAGUUCGGAUUGGAGGCUGCAACUCGCCUCCAUGAAGUCGGAAUCGCUAGUAACCGCAGAUCAGCUACGUUGCGGUGAAUACGUUCCCGGGCCUU
rnacentral:rRNA from 1 species